UACGGGGGGGGGCAAGCGUUGUUCGGAAUUACUGGGCGUAAAGGGCUCGUAGGCGGCCAACUAAGUCAGACGUGAAAUCCCCAGGCUCAACCUGGGAACUGCGUCUGAUACUGGAUGGCUUGAAUCCGGGAGAGGGAUGCAGAAUUCCAGGUGUAGCGGUGAAAUGCGCAGAUAUCGGGAGGAACACCAAUGGCGAAGGCAGCUCGCUGGGACGGUACUGACGCUGAGACGCGAAAGCGUGGGGAGCAAACAGG
rnacentral:rRNA from 1 species